UCACAGGUUCCUAUAAAAUAAAGCUCUUCAAUGUGCCACACUCAUCAUCAAGUGGACAAGUGGAGCAGAAAACCUCUGAACUGCAUCUGAUAAAGGGCAGCUGGACCAGCGAAUUCAGCUGGCUGCAGAAAGGAAGAUGAAAGGCCUGUUCUGGGUGACUGUGGUCUUCUUCCUGUCUGUUGAAAACACCUCGGCUGCUGUAGACCAGAAAUGGCUUACAGAUAUUGUGCAAACCAUCAAGAAUAACUGCAAUGCCACUCUGAUGUUCCAUCCUGUGCUGGUGGAGCCUCCUGGAGGAACAGCAAGCGAGCGGACGGUUCCAUUUCAGCUCAAGCAGCGCAUCAAAAAUGACAGCCUUCCAGCACUGGAAAUAUAAGGAGCAUUUCAUUUACAUAUGUGAAAAUGGCUCAAAUUUAACCGUGCAGUGCAAGAAGUGUUUGCCGGCUAUCAAGAACUUGUCCUCGUCGAAGCAAUCUAUGUCAAAGCUGAGGAAACAUUUAGAGGUAAGUGCAACUCACUGAUAGACGAAGCGUAUUGUUUUACGAAUAUUUGACUGUUUGGUGUUGAUGCAUGACAAACGUUGGAAUCUAUUCUUUCCCAUGAGACAUUGUAUGCAAUGUGCUAGUGUUAUGGUUUUCAUGAUGAACAUAAAGUAAACUAGAAAAUUCCUGAAGAAAUUUAACUGGGGCCUGCCAAAGUGUGCCCGUCGGUUUGGACCCAGCGUUCUGAUGCUAAAAAUUAGCAUCAAUGCUAAGCUUAGCUAAAUAGUAGUCAUUAGCUUGUGGAAUUUUAUAACUUGCUUCGCAAGUCAGUCACUGCUCUCCUUAUGCAUUGCUAUGGGCAGGCCCCAAUUAAUGCUACUUUGAACAUAUAAUUAUUAAUUAUAGUAUAUUUUUCUUCUAUCUUUUUUUCUCUCUCUCUUUUCAGAGGAAGCAUCCAGGCGUUCUUCUGAAAGGCACGUUUAGUCCAUCUGAUACUCGGGAAGAUGACCUGGCAGGCAGUUCUACCCCAGCA